rnacentral:rRNA from 1 species
GACGAACGCUGGCGGCGUGCUUAACACAUGCAAGUCGAACGGAAAGGCCCUGCUUUUGUGGGGUGCUCGAGUGGCGAACGGGUGAGUAACACGUGAGUAACCUGCCCUUGACUUUGGGAUAACUUCAGGAAACUGGGGCUAAUACCGGAUAGGAGCUCCUGCUGCAUGGUGGGGGUUGGAAAGUUUCGGCGGUUGGGGAUGGACUCGCGGCUUUUCAGCUUGUUGGUGGGGUAGUGGCUUACCAAGGCUUUGACGGGUAGCCGGCCUGAGAGGGUGACCGGCCACAUUGGGACUGAGAUACGGCCCAGACUCCUACGGGAGGCAGCAGUGGGGAAUAUUGCACAAUGGGCGGAAGCCUGAUGCAGCAACGCCGCGUGCGGGAUGACGGCCUUCGGGUUGUAAACCGCUUUCGCCUGUGACGAAACGUGAGUGACGGUAAUGGGUAAAGAAGCACCGGCUAACUACGUG